UUUUGCACAAUGGAGGAAACUCUGAUGCAGCGACGCCGCGUGAGUGAUGAAGCCCUUCGGGGUGUAAAGCUCUUUCGACAGGAACGAUAAUGACGGUACCUGAAGAAGAAGCUGCGGCUAACUACGUGCCAGCAGCCGCGGUAAUACGUAGGCAGCAAGCGUUGUUCGGAAUUACUGGGCGUAAAGAGUGUGUAGGCGGUGCUCUAAGUUUGGUGUGAAAUUUCCCGGCUCAACCGGGAGGCUGCAUCGAAUACUGGAAUGCUAGAGGAUUGGAGAGGUAAGCGGAAUUCCUGGUGUAGCGGUGAAAUGGGUAGAUAUCAGGAGGAACACCUGUGGUGUAGACGGCUUACUGACUUUGCCUUACGCUUAGACCCG
rnacentral:rRNA from 1 species